CCCGGUGACUGUAGCGGAGAGGCCAUACCCGUUCCCAUCCCGAACACGGAAGUCAAGCUCUCCAGCGCCGAAAAUACUGAGGGGGCAGCUCCUCGGCAAGAUAGGUCGUCGCCGGGC
rnacentral:rRNA from 1 species